CCCGCCCCGCCGCCCGACCCCGACGCCGGGGUUCUCCUUCCGCCUGCACCGGGGCCGACGGCCGCUGGCUGCGGGCGACUCGCCGGCUGCGGGCUCGGAGAAAAGAUGAGUGAGGACCUCCUGUUCUUCGAGUGAGUGCUCCACAUCUGUCUGAAGAAACACACUAACAAGAUUGCUGAAUUUUGCAUCGCAGUGGGCAGGGAACUGGUAAGCGAAAAAGCUGUAGGAUUUUAUACUUAAAGGAAUUGCAAGGAAGCUCAUUAAUGGAAGAAUUGAUAAUGUAACUUACAUAUAAGGAUACUUCAUCACUCACCAGAGAAGCUAUACUUCUUAUAAACACUUCUGUGAUCUUGAAGCUGUAAUAUACUUCUUCCUGGGUAUAAAUGAUCUCCAUAAAAUGCAAAUAUGCAAAGAGCUCUUCUUGUAUGUGAGAAAUUCGUCCAUGGCUGAAAUUCAGUGAAGUUCAGCCAGUAUUCUGUAUGUCGAUUGUAAACCUUUCUCCAAUUAAAGUCAUUUGGUGUUGAUAAUAAGGGGCAUACUUUUAAAAGGGAUGUCUACAACUACUGGAAGUGUAAGACAGUUCUUUAAAUGUGCCUUAGAACUGAAAUUCUUCAGAGGUUGAAGCAUGUUUCCUGGUUUCUCUGAAUUUCACUGUUGUUUCGUGUGAAGUGUUGAUGGUAAGUAGAAAAUUUGCAGCUGUAGCAGAGGGGUGUAGGCAUAUUCUAAAAAAAAGUCAUUCCAUCCAAGAAGAAGCAACUUUUGACUCUGUUCAUUGUUAGCUGACCUCUUCCAUCAUAAUGGUACUCAAAACUAGAAAAGCAUGAGUUACAGAUGUAUACAGGUAUGUAUUUCAAUUACAUACAUGAGCUAUACUGUAGAGGCAAGGAUACUCCUGUAUAAGGAAUCUGAUGGUAUUAUUAGAAGAACGUUUCAUCUGUAGAUUUCUGAACAGAAUAUUUGGUCAAUUUGUGUGAUGAAUCCUGUCUCUGUUAUUAAUGCCUUUUCCCUGCAAAUAUUUUGCUUUCUGUUAAAAUUACCUUCUCAGGCUUACAGCUGUUUGUUAAAAGUGAACAGAAGUUUUUCCCUGAGAAGUGUAAGCAAUAAUGCUUGGUUGAUACCAUCAAGCAAUCAAAUACAAUCUUGGAGAUUUCAUUUUGUUUUGAGCAGUGACAUCUCGUUUGCUUGUGUUGAUAUGUUGCUCGGUGUCAUGGGGAACUAGAAUUUUAAAAUUCCUUUUGAAGCAUGGCUCUUCCAAAUGGCCUGGAGUCCGUAGUGCUUGCAGAAAAUUCACUUUAUCUUUCAGAUAAUCUCUUUGAGAUCAGUUAGAUGCUGUUUAUGACAAAUUCAGAUUUUUUCUGUAUCUAGUCGUUCUGGUUGUUGGUAUGUGGCAUGGUGUUUAUCUGGAUUAUGUCAUUCAUGGUGAGAAGAAUGACCUCUUUCCUCUUGCCCUGUUGACCGCAGUUUCCGUGACACUUGUGGCAUUGUUGCUGGCUGCAAUUCUACAGCUGUAAGACUGUGGAUCAGUUCCCAAAUGCCAUGAAGGGCCUUUUCUUGUUUUUUUGAUUUUUGUACCGUCUCUGAAUAAGUUUUAAAAUUGAAUUACAUAAUUUUAAUUUCUCACUGCAGAACUUCCAAGCUCCCUCCAAGUUUUAAGGCACAUUCAGAGAUUGAAGCGUUUCCUUGUUUCUCUACACUUCACUGUUGUUGCUGUGAAGUGUGAUAAGUAGAAAUCUGUAGCAGUCGUCCUGCCUCAAACAUCUUUAUUGAAACAUAAUUUCAGGAUUUUAACAUAAGUACUAAACUUGGAAACAUGGAAGUGCAGCAGGAUGUUCUAUUUAAAUAGGGGUGAAACAGCUUGAACAUCACACCUACUUGCAAAAAUUGCCAGUGAUGAGGUCAUGCUGCUUUCGGUGUUGAAGAAUGCCGAGACCAGCCUGACUGAAUCGCCACAAAAUGAAACAAUACGAGGGAUGUGAAGAAACCAGUUUCCUGACAGGUGUUUCCUCAUAGAGGAACCAGUGAGUGGCAGUACUAAUAACUUAUUUUAAAUGGACUAUUCUGCUGAGCUAGCAUGACCAGCCUAACAACAUAAUACUGAUGGUCAGUCGCUUUAUCCUAUAAAGCCCAAGCCCUCUUUUUUAUGGCAAGGAUUUCUAGCCACCCCUUCUAGGUGUGUGUGUAGAGAUUCUUCAUUUAAGUGGGGAUGCUUCUUAAGGUUAUCCUUAGGGCUGACUGAAAGAGAUUUGCCCCCGCGUCAUAAGUAUGGGUGAGCAACAUCAGUCUUCUCUUUUAUAAUUAUUAAGUUAGCUUUGAAAAUAAUGAUUUAAUAAAUCGUGCACUUUAGUAGCAGUAAUAGCUUUCUAGUACUGAGGAAGGUCAUGGAGCAGACAUCUGAGUGACAUCACAUGGCACAUACAGGACAACCUGGGGAUCAGGACCAGCCAGCAGAAAGGCAGAUCCUGCUUGACCAACUUGAUCUCCUUCUAUUGAUGCUGAAAAACCUCGGAUAGAGAACUGCUCAGAGACUUUGCAUCUUUAAGCAGCAAGAUAUUUGUUAUUGCAAUGUUGGGAGAGAGGCAGGUCGCCCUGCGCAAACUCGCUGGACCCAAGAGCACAAAACAAGCCAUUUAUACAUUUUAGGUACACAGUUACACCUUGUAAGAUACAUAUUAAUAAGUAG